rnacentral:piRNA from 1 species
UCAGUAGGUGGCAUUAACAAU